rnacentral:rRNA from 1 species
AACGAACGCUGGCGGCAUGCCUAACACGUGCAAGUCGAACGAGACCUUCGGGUCUAGUGGCGCACGGGUGCGUAACGCGUGGGAACCUGCCUUUAGGUUCGGAAUAACUCAGAGAAAUUUGAGCUAAUACCGGAUGAUGUCUUCGGACCAAAGAUUUAUCGCCUUUAGAUGGGCCCGCGUUGGAUUAGCUAGUUGGUGGGGUAAAGGCCUACCAAGGCGACGAUCCAUAGCUGGUCUGAGAGGAUGAUCAGCCACACUGGGACUGAGACACGGCCCAGACUCCUACGGGAGGAAGCAGUGGGGAAUAUUGGACAAUGGGCGAAAGCCUGAUCCAGCAAUGCCGCGUGAGUGAUGAAGGCCUUAGGGUUGUAAAGCUCUUUUACCCGAGAUGAUAAUGACAGUAUCGGGAGAAUAAGCUCCGGCUAACUCCGUG